rnacentral:rRNA from 1 species
AUUGAACGCUGGCGGCAUGCCUUACACAUGCAAGUCGAACGGUAACAGGUCUUCGGAUGCUGACGAGUGGCGAACGGGUGAGUAAUACAUCGGAACGUGCCCGAGAGUGGGGGAUAACGAGGCGAAAGCUUUGCUAAUACCGCAUACGAUCUCAGGAUGAAAGCAGGGGACCGCAAGGCCUUGCGCUCACGGAGCGGCCGAUGGCAGAUUAGGUAGUUGGUGGGAUAAAAGCUUACCAAGCCGACGAUCUGUAGCUGGUCUGAGAGGACGACCAGCCACACGAGGACUGAGACACGGCCCAGACUCCUACGGGAGGCAGCAGUGGGGAAUUUUGGACAAUGGGCGCAAGCCUGAUCCAGCCAUGCCGCGUGCAGGAUGAAGGCCUUCGGGUUGUAAACUGCUUUUGUACGGAACGAAAAGACUCUGGUUAAUACCUGGGGUCCAUGACGGUACCGUAAGAAUAAGCACCGGCUAACUACGUGCCAGCCGCCGCAGUAAAAC